ACUUAUUGAACGUAUUUUUAUUCAUUAAGGAAUCCCAAUUCCAUCACCUUCUUCUUCUAUCAGUACUUCUCUUCCUCCCCCUCUCUUUCUGUUACUUUCAUCUUCUCUGUUACUAAAUUUUUCUCUGCAAAAGUUCCUGAAUCCUCUUUGUUCCAAAUUAGCCUGCGGUUAUGGAUCGCAUCUUCGUUAGCUCUUCUUCGAUGUCUGCAUCCUUUUAAAGGUUUUUCAUUUGGUUAUGUUUCUCAUAUCUUGUCCUACAACAUAUUCACCUCUCAUGAGCAAUCCAAAAUGUAAACCAUCUAUUUGUUGAACGGUAUUGGUAUGUGUAUGUGUGACCUAUAUUGUUGAUGUAUUCAAUUUGCUUGCACGUGUAUUUUUAUUGCACUAUUGCUACUAUUUGUCAAAAUUGGCGUUGAUAAGAAAAUUUAGAUAUAUAAAUUAUAGCUUUUAAAAAUUAUACCAAAUUAUAGAUAUUGAUUCAACCAAAUUAUAGAGUACUUGGAACGAAAUGACCAUAAUCCAGGAUACUGCAAAUUGGAGAGUGAUGUUAGGUUUAUGCCUUUGCAUUUGGCAUAAUAUAUUUUCUCAAAGUUCAUGUGUAUUCUCUUCAUUAAUAUUGGAAAGCGAUAUUUCAUUGCAAUGAAGCAUGCACAUGUUUCUUUUAGUUGCAUUCCCUUUCCCGCUUCACCUUCUUCUUCCAUUAGCUUUCUUUAUCCCUUCUGGCUUUGUUGGGGUUUUUUUUUGUUUUAUUUUGGUUGGUUCUGUAAGUCGCUACUAUAGUUUUUUUAUUAGUUUAGAUCUAUUUUCCUUUUAUGUGGUAUGAAAUGUGUCGCGUUCUUUGAGUUCUGUAGCUCUACGAGUGAGUUUUUAAGGAUUUCAUUACUACCCACACUCUAAUACUGGCCUUACUCAUGUAAUAUAACAACUUAAAGUUUGUUUAUUUGUUAUUUGCAUUGAGGUAUUUUAGAUUUGGUCUAGGAUCGAAAUUACGGGGUUUUUUGGGGUAAAAUUUGUCACUGGUUUUAAUGGCUAAUCAAUGAUAUUCUUAAUUUUCUUAACACGAAUUAAUGAUAUUCUUGACUCUUGGUCUUUAAAGCAGAGGGUGAGAGCUAAGCGAAAUUGAGAAGUUGGAAGAGGGAAGAAAACAAAAGAAGAAGAAAAAUAAGGAUAAAAGCAGAACAAUUCAACAAAUAAAGCCGAAAGAAAUAUACCAAAGAAGUCUUGCUUUGUGAGUCUGCUUUUCCGCUAAGCAGCUAAAACAUAUGCCCGCCUCCUACCUUGACAAGUUGAGUUUACUAGUUUCUCAAAUUUAUCCCAAAAAAAGAUUUAUCUGUGUUUCUGUAGCAACAUAUAGAAUUAUAAAUAAAAUGAAGGAUUCACAAUUUGCUAAUUUAGAAUUGCAAAGAAUAUUCUCUUACAUUUCACAUACUUAGUUGACUCUUCUUCUUUUGCUCUAUUUAUUUUGGGAGAAAUGUUCCUUGCUGCCCCUGACAGAUUGUAAUUGUUUCUUCAGAAUCGAUAGUAUAACAAUUUAGGAACUAAAGUGGAACAAUACAUUCAUUCUCACUAUGCUAUAGUUUUUCACCACUGAAUAAAUAAACUUUUUACAUGUAUUAUCCUUUGGAAAAGCUUAUAGUUGCAUCAACUCUUUCAAAUGUAAACAAAAUCAUACUGUGUGUGACUUUAAAAAAGAAGAAUUAUGGUUGAGAGUGAUUUACAAUUAGGAGGAAUGCAUAACAACAUUUUGAACUAAUUAGAUAUGAUAGAAACUGUCAGCAUAUUUAGGUUAUUGUGUCGUCUUAGCAUAAAUCAAUUUUUUACAGGUUUAAACUGUAAAAAGUAACUUUAGGGGAUUAUAUUUUGCUGUAAGUUUACUACCAAUUGCAGGUACUAAAUGGUAAAGUGAACAGUAAGUCAUAUACAAAUUAUGUGCCUGUCUUGGUGGCCACAUUAGCAUGCCUUAUUGUCGAUUUGAAUUUGACAUGACACCCCACAUGAGUGUGCUCUUUGGAAAAUUAAUUUUUGAUUUCGAAAAUGACGGAGACUACAAUAGUUCCAGAUUUUCCUUUGUGCUUGGUUAUCCUUCCAUUGUUCAACUAUAUAUUUAUUUAUUUUAAGUAUUUAUUGGAUUUUGAUCAGUGAUUGUUGCUAAGCUACUUAUGUUCUGCCAUUUUGUUACUUCGGAACUUAACCCGAAAUGGCUGGGGAGAUCGAAAGGUUCCUUUUUUUAGGGGUACUCCCAGGAACAAAUCCAGUGGAGGUAGGGUGCGGCCUGUAGCUCAGAGGAUUAGAGCACGUAGCUAUGAACCACGGUGCACUUCAUUUAGAGAUGCUUUUGGGAUGGUUGAUAUUGACUUUUUUUUAAAUGACCAACUCAUCCGUUUCACAAAAAUAAACUCAUAAUUUCGAAUAAGUUGAUUCCCUACCAUUUUGUGGCUAAUUUAACAACCUUGCUAUGUCGCGCACGUGCAUUAGCACGGGCAUCAUUUUCUAGUUUACUUAUAAAUGCUUUUAUGAAAUAAGUUUCAUCCAAAUAUCAUUCUUAAAUUUUUCGACUCAAAAGCUGAAUUGUCACAACCAAGCAGGAUAAUACUCGAUAAUGUACAUUUGAGUCAUUUCGUAAUUAGAUUUCCUUAGAAAAUUGAGAUUUUUAAUCCUUUUUUUUCAAUAUAGAAGAAUAGUACAUGAAUGAUGACUCUUGUAUAGGCGAAAAACUUGACGUCACGCAUUGCUGUGAUGCAUCGAUAUUGUGACGUAUUAAUCUAAUCCCAAAAGGUCAAGGUCAUAUCGUCGAGGUCGGGUAGCUUAAUAGAAGACGAGGACGAGGACGAGCACCCAUCCUCGACACACAGUAGCGGCUAGUUUAAGGAUUUAGAUUCCCUAGAUAAUAAUCUAGUGAAUAUUUCUCUAUGUUGUAUUAUUUAGGGUUUUGUAGCCCAUGUAUUCUUAUAAAUAGGAAGAGAUGUAGUUCUAGAUAGGAAGAGAUGUAGUUCAAGAUGGGGAUGGAAUAUUUUUGUAAAGAACAUCGUUGACAUUUUCUGUAAAGAUUCCCCUUUAUUGAAUACAUACAAAGCCUAAUUUUACA